rnacentral:lncRNA from 1 species
UCUCAUUUGCAUUAUUAUUAAUCUAUGAAGAUCUCAUAUUACUUUGUCUUCUCCUCUUGAGAUAAAAUGUUGCAGAUUCCAGCUUAGUCCAUGGAAAUCUUGCAUUGUUAUAUUUUCAUAUCGUUCGGUCGUGCAAGCGAAAUGCAAUAAUGACGAUAUUGUAUGAAGUGACUAUGGGAAAGAGAAGCGGGUAGGAAUUCAAC